GAUGAACGCUGACAGAAUGCUUAACACAUGCAAGUCUUUGGCGAAGCUGUGCUUGCACAGCCUAGCCAAGGCGGACGGGUGAGUAACGCGUAAGGAACUUGCCCUGCAGUCAGGGAUAACAGACGGAAACGACUGAUAAGACCUGGUAAAGUCAGGCGGACUCAUGUCCAGCCUGAUGAAAAGUGAUGCUGCAGGAGAGCCUUGCGUCCUAUUAGCUUGUUGGUGGGGUAACGGCCCACCAAGGCAAUGAUAGGUAGCCGGCCUGAGAGGGUGGACGGCCACAAGGGGACUGAGAUACGGCCCUUACUCCUACGGGAGGCAGCAGUGGGGAAUAUUGGACAAUGGGGGCAACCCUGAUCCAGCAAUUCUGUGUGCACGAUGAAGGUUUUCGGAUUGUAAAGUGCUUUCAGCAGGGAAGAAAAAAAUGACGGUACCUGCAGAAGAAGCGACGGCUAAAUACGUGCCAGCAGCCGCGGUAAUACGUAUGUCGCAAGCGUUAUCCGGAAUUAUUGGGCAUAAAGGGCAUCUAGGCGGCCAGAUAAGUCUGGGGUGAAAACUUGCGGCUCAACCGCAAGCCUGCCCUGGAAACUAUGUGGCUAGAGUACUGGAGAGGUGGACGGAACUGCACGAGUAGAGGUGAAAUUCGUAGAUAUGUGCAGGAAUGCCGAUGAUGAAGAUAGUUCACUGGACGGUAACUGACGCUGAAGUGCGAAAGCUAGGGGAGCAAACAGG
rnacentral:rRNA from 1 species